rnacentral:rRNA from 1 species
GUGUCAGCCGCCGCGGUAAUACGGAGGAUGCAAGCGUUAUCCGGAAUGAUUGGGCGUAAAGGGUCCGCAGGUGGCACUGUAAGUCUGCUGUUAAAGAGUUUGGCUCAACCAAAUCAAAGCAGUGGAAACUACAAAGCUAGAGUCUGGUCGGGGCAGAGGGAAUUCCUGGUGUAGCGGUGAAAUGCGUAGAUAUCAGGAAGAACACCAGUGGCGAAGGCGCUCUGCUAGGCCAAAACUGACACUGAGGGACGAAAGCUAGGGGAGCGAAUGGGAUUAGAUACCCUUGUAGUCC